GAUGGUGACAUCAUUUUCUUUUGCCACGAUUUCCACCGCUGGCUGAGCACCGACCACGCUGUACCGACCCUAACAAUUCCCAUUUUCAACACCAGUUAAACCAAAAAUCUACAAACAUCAUAAAACACGUGCUAUAAUGGAAAAACCAUAUUCUGAAGGGGAACAUAGAGGCUUACAACAUGGGAAGUUCGGAAACCAGGUUCUACGGACUCGAAAAGAAAGCUAGGAGCCUCCCGGUCGUCUUCUUUAACUAAGCAGCGGUAUGCAAGCACGGGAGUCAGAUGAUCCGAGAAAAUACAUUGGUAGAGCGGAAUGACAUUUCCAUGUCUGGAAGCUUCCAUAAAUCUUUUUUUAUCCGUCACUGAAUAAAUUGAGAACACAAAAGAAUAAAUAAAAAAGAUCCACGAUUGAAACAACCAUGUAAUUAAAGCAUAGUUGAAAAAUGAAGGGACAUUUUAGGGAUAACGAUACUAUUUAUGGCAGCGUUUUCACCUGAACGAGUGAAACAAAAAUCAUGAAGUCCAGCACAGAUUAUACAGAAACAAUUUGAGCAUUAACCAAUGAAUGAGCGUACCUGGAGAUGAAGACUGGAGAGAGCAACAUUGGAGUGAAGGAAGGGAGCGACGAAGAGAGAGACGUGAGCUAAAGCUGUGACUAGGGGAGAAUUCGAAGGAAACAACCGGACACAAGCGGCGGUUCACCGGAGAUAACCGGUAAUUGGCAGGAGAAAGUCGAUUGGGAGCAUGUAGGGCUUGCAUUAUUAGUUUUUUUCUCUCUAAUUAUAACGGCCUGGUGCAUUCAACCUUCCGAGGGACUCAGAAGAAGGAACGGAAGCCAAUGCUGAAAAUGUGAAAUGCAGCUUAUUACACUUCACCGUCUGCGAAUGCUGCUCGGAGCAAAUAAGGACAGGAAGGACAGCGGUGAGUGCACCAGACUCCAGAGGAGAUUUUGGGGGAUAGUACAAAUAAGAGGAAGAGAGUUUAGGAAUCUGGUUGAGAGUUGAGGGUUGAGACGGUGCGUCUCGUCUCGAAGUUGUGUCGAAUUCUUUUACAGCGUCAGCGAGCACGUACUCCUAAUAUGCACCGCUUCCAAGCCAUUAGCCACUCUAUUUAUAGUCACACGCCUCUGCCCAUUUACUCCAGAAGGCCUGUUUAACUGGGGCGAAACUUUCACACCAAAAAUGUGAAGAAUUAAUUUUUAGGGUUAAUUACAAUUUGCUUCCUUAAACUUGACCCUUUAUAACAUUUUGCCCCCAUAAACUUUAAAUAUAUAUACUUUGCCCCAUUCAUUGACUAGUCAAAUAUUAAUGAUGAAUUCUCCCCCCAAAAUUUUAACAAAAUGGCAUUAAUGCCCUUACAUAAUAGUUCUACAAUAAUGCUAUACUUUUAAUCAAAAUAUAAAACAUUUUGUUAGAAAAAACACAAAGUCAUAUGAUUUAAAAAAUUUAGAAAUAAAAGAUGGUAUAAUACCAAAGAAUUGAAAAUUUUUUUAUGGAGAAAAAAAGAAUUUAAAAAAUCCUAAAACAUCAGCACAAGUUUUCCAUUACUUAUCUUUAUUCCUUUAAAUUGUAAACAGAUUAGUUUUGAUAAUUUUCAUUUACUUUGCAGCUGUCACAAGAUUUUCACGAGUCAAUAAAAUGUUAUUUGGUAAUUUUAUAUCACAUUCAUACGUUGCUUUGUAUUUUAUUUGCAUUCUACAUUCUACAUUUUUAAAAAAAAAAUUAAGUUCUCUAAUACAUUUUUAUUUUUAAUUAUGUUUUUUUUCUCAUAUAAAACACAUAAAAAAGUGCUACAAUAAAAAAAAUAAGCAAAUAAUUUCAUUCCAAAUGCACUAAUUAAUUUUAUUUCAUUUAAAAUAAGUAUUGCUACCGACAUUGAGAUAAAUACAUUGAGUUGGUUAAAUUCUUUUUUGCAAAUUAUCUAAUUCAUUUUAAGGCUAAAAGAUCGAAAUGCCUAAUGUAAUUGUAUUUAGAUGCAUUUAGCAAUUAUAAAAAAAAAAGGUGUUUAUUAUGUUAUGAGUGUUUAAGAAUUAGCCAAGGAUGUUUUUGUCAUGAAAAAUAUAACUUCAUCUUAACUCCGUCAAAAAGUUGAUUAUAAAGGGUAAAGUAUAUAUAUUUGGAAUUAGAGGGGCAAAGUGUUACAAAUACCCAAGUUCAAGGGAGCAAAAUGUAAUUAACCCUAAUUUUUAUACAUUCAUUGUGUAUAGACUUUUUAAUUAGGGCACAACUUCACGCGAAAAAUAUAAAGAAUUGAUCUUUUAUAUAAUGAUAAUGUAUAUACUUUCAGCAUGAUAUAUUACACAUGAUCUAGAUUUGAAUUUAAAAUCCAAUCCUAUAUAUAGAUUACUCAAAUGUAUGCCUUCUUUUAGCACAACCAUGACGACUUGUAAUCCAUAUACAAAACUUGAUUUAACAACCGUGGAGACAGUUUUCUCUAGACAAAACCAUGAAACGAACAACUAUUAGUAUAAUUUAGGUAAAUGAACUAGUCAUUAAGCUAUAAACCAUCAAUUUAUGUUAAGUUUUAUAUGCCUACUUAUCUUACGAUGUCGUCAUUAGGUAACUGUAUCCUUCCUUCAUCAAAUGAUAAUUGAUCAUUUUUAUGAAGGCAUUCCAGAAAUGUUAACAGAACUAAUUUACAGAUUUUUUACCUAAUAUGGGUCCAAAAAUGAUAAACAAACAAAUGAUGUUUAGUUGAGUUUUAUAUGCCGACUUAUUUUUCGAUGCCAUCAUUAGGUAACUACCUUUCCUUCAUCAAAUAAUAAUUGAUCAUGUAUUGGAAGGUUUUCCAGAAAUGUCAACAAAAUGUAAUUUAUAAAUUUUUUCCCUAAGAUGGGACCAAAACAGAUAAACAAAAAAUAAAACAAAAUGGAGAAAUUUUAUUACAAUCUAAAUCAAUUAUUAGUUUGGCAUAAUUUUAUUUGAAGCAUUUUCAUUGGUUAAAAACUAGUAACUACUAGGUUUGAUUGUAAUAAAGAUUUUUUUCAAACAAAAACGUAGGUUUGACACGCAAAGAAUACCAGUUAUUUUUACGAAAUUAAUGAAAUGAUUAGUAUGAAUAUCCAUUCGUCUCCCCAAAAGAUACAUUGAAACGUUCAUCUUUAAAGGUUCAUUGGAAUAGCAUCUUCUUAUAAGUUUGUUUGUUGGUUCAUUAUGGAGCUAAAUUCAUGUAUUUGAAAUAUAUAGUAAAUUCAUGCACUUAUAUAUUCAUGCUAGUACAUAUACCUUUGAUCUUGUAUCAUUUAUAAAUAGAGGUAUAUAAGACUCAUUUCUAAUAUUUGAAUAAAAAAACAUUCUCACUAUUUCCUUUUCUCCGUUCUACAAUCUUCAUUUUCUACUUGUAAGGAAUUUAUUUUAUUAAUUUCACAAUAAUUUAUUUAAUAUUAAUGAAUUCUCAAAAUUCAUACGUCUCGUCUCUCAACCAACACUAAACGUCUAAAAAUACAUUGGGCACAAAGUAAGGAUAUAGUACUAACUUUUGGUGCUCCACUAACUGUACCAACAGGAAGUGCAGCACGCAGUGCAUCCCAGCAAGUAAGAUGAUCAAGCAACUCCCCUGUGACCUGUAAUAAUGUCCCAAUGGUUUUAAACAAAAUGGUUACUCAAAUAAAGCCUUCUUCAACUCUCAUGAGUUUAUGAAGGUGUUAUGAGGCCAAGACAUUUAAAGCUACUGAAAUGAAACAACUUCUACCCGCAGGAAAACCGGCAACUCUCUAGUAUGAAAACCAAACUAUAUUGUCCAUACUAUGUAAUUACUGCAACAGGGAUGAACAAUUUUAUUUGAAAAACUGAUAGUCAACAAGGCUUUAUGAUGAUAUUCUCACCGUGGAGCUUAUGUGCAUCACAUGGGAGUACCGCUCAACAGUCAUAAGUUUUUCAACAUUUACAGAACCUGGCUUCGAGACCUACAUUUGACAAAUCUUAUAAUGUUACUUAUGACAGUGUAGAGAAAGCAUAGAAAAAUAUGGAAGAUCCAACAUACGUUUUCUGAAAAGUCUGCAAUAGAUACCAUAUGUUUAGGGCAGGGAGCAGAUCAUAUUUACAAACUCCCAAAUAUAAACAUUAAUAACAAAAAUGCAAGAAAAUUUUUUACAAGAGAGUAAAGUAAGUCAGUAAAACCUUUCCCACAUCAUUACGGCCCAAAUCGACCAGCAUUAUAUGUUCUGCACAUUGCUUUUUAUCUUUUAAAAGCUGCAGCUCCUGCAUCUCAUCUUCAUGAGGUGUCUUCCCUCUUCUUGUAGUUCCAGCCAAUGGUCGAUUAACAACCCUUUUCUGUCAAUAACAUUGAUACAUCCACAUUAAUUCUGUAUCAAGAGCUGUAUACUCAAGGCCAAAGUUUAAUGAUUUUCAGAAUUUAAUCUGUAAAUAACCUUCUUGACACGAGUAAGAAUUUCUGGGCUUGAAGCAACAUGAAUACUUCCUCUAGCCUGAUCAAAUAAUGAAGACACCAUAGUUGGAAAACUUACUUCAGACAAUUAAGAGAAUGGAUGUUCUUUGUAUUAAUAGAAGUACUAACCUGCAAGUAAGCCAUGUAGGGACUUGGAUUUAUUACUCUCAGUGCUCUGUAGACUUCAAAUGGAUCAGCAAAUGUUCUCUUCUCAAAGCGCUGACUUAAAACAAUCUGAAAAAUAUCUCCAGCAAGGAUAUGCUCCUUUGCCUGUAUGACAGCCUUCUUGUACUCUUCUCUUGUCAUGUUACUCUUGUUCAGAGAGAAUCCAAAAUUGUUAGUCCACAAUUCAACAGAUCCUGCUGAUAGCCUUGGACUGAAAAUGGAAAUUUAAUAUGUUAUGAUACAGAAGAUGUAAAAUCAAAAUUGAACCAAGAAAAUGUUAUGAUAUAGAAGAUUCAAACAGUAACUUACGGAUCAAUAUUUUGUACUUUUGACAUUAGUCUUUCCAAGCGUUUCAUACCACUAGUGUAAGCCUUCUCUUUUGAUGGAUACUGAUCUAACUGCACCCAGUGGAUAACAUAUGCUUUCUGCAUGAACAAGAAGGAUUCUUAAUAAUCACUCAGGAAGAAUUUCCGAAACAAAUGCAAUUGGGUGAGCCCUGAGAGAGAUCACGGUGACCAUAACUAAUAUAUAAGGGUAAAAGCUAUUUUCCGUCAAUCUAGAUAAGAGGCUAAGACAAGCUGGUUCAUGUUCAAGAACUAUUAAGGGAGGAUAAAAAUAGUGGUUAGUGACCUCCCACGUUCAAUAAAGAUUCCAUGAUAUAACAGCUAUUAAGAUGAAACUCACUAAAGCUUAGAUUGUGCAUUAAUACAUUAGCAUAGAUCUUAUCAAAUUGUCUUUACUACCAUAAAGCUGGCUGAACUCAGCUAACAAAACAAUGUGAACAAUCAAGUUUAGACCUCCUUAUAGGUAAUUGAUUAACUUGUACAUUCCAUUCACUGUCUGGACUCAUUAUACAACACAAAAACUGAAAGAAUUAGACAAACACAGAAAGGCAUGCACAUGCAGAAAGUGACACAAGAAUACCUUCUCUACAUGAUCAAAUACUAUCACAUCAUCAUACAGCCCCAGAUGAAUGUCAGCAAGGCUCCUAUCAUCGCGUGGCGCCUGAGAGAAUGGCAGCUUCUUCUUCUCAAGGUACCUAACAGUGUCAUAAGAAAAAUAACCAACCCAUCCACCUGCACAUGAUGCCCAAAGAACUCGUAAUUAAGUAUACAAGAAAAGUUGUAAACCUAGCAAUACAGUCUCCACUUUUAUUUCUGUUCACCUCUCAAGUAAGAGCCUACUGUACAAUUUUUCACAGAAAAUUCGUUUCAAACAUUGACUUUAUGUCUAAAAUGCAGUAACUCUAUCAAAAGACAUGUCAGGCACAAAAGAAAGCACAUCCAAAACAGGAAUGAAUAGAAAAAAUAGCUACUUCCGAACUAAAUUCAUCUACUCCCAGUAAUGGAAGGUAGUUGGGAAAGUAAGAGAAACAUAAUAAUACCAAAAAGUGUGUGAUUCUUCGAAAUAUAUGGAUGUCCAUGAUUAUUGUCCCUGUAUUAAAUAAGAAUUUUGACGUCUAACAUUCCGAUGCCUCCACCAGUUCAGUCAAGAAGAGUGCCACUGAUGGAGAAGAAACAGCAAGUUUCUGGGACACACUCAAAUUACAUCUUCUACUUUCUACAUUUGAAGUCACUAGAUACUAAUUUCGGUAACAGAGAGAACCCAUAAAACCUCUCCAUUACAACGGCCAAAUUCCUGUCUAUCACAAAACAAUCUUCAUCCAUGGCUACAGCCUGCUGGAACACAAUUCUGGGAAGGAAAAGCCCAAAAGUUUAUGUCCAUCACAAAUCUUACCCUAACUCCUUCACGGAAUCCUCAUAAUCUGAUGUGCAAAAACAUUACUUACUGUUCUUACAGAAUAAACAGGAAGUUACAGGAUACAACCUCAAAAAAGGAAAAGUAUUUCACGAGUUUACUCAAUUAUGAAACUUCACGUUUUUAUUCGAACUUCAGAAAAGUUUUUUUUUUUUUUUUGAAUGAUGCACAAUUAAAUUUUGUUUUAAAAGAAAUGGAAAACCUGAGCCGACUUGAAAACAAAAGAAUAGACAGAUAAAUAAGAAUAUUCUAGUUAACGAGUCCAACUAGAAAGGAAAAACGAAAUUACUGGUCCGAGUAAUGUUAAAGUCAUACCACAAAAUGUAUCAGGAAGUUCACUAAUCAACUGAGGCUUCCAACUUUCAGAAAUUUCUCUAGGAAUCGUCAUCGGGUCCUCCACAACAAUCUCCUUCAACUUCCCUCUGUAGUGAUCCAAGAUGGUGACAUCAUUUUCUUUUGCCACGAUUUCCACCGCUGGCUGAGCACCGACCACGCUGUACCGACCCUAACAAUUCCCAUUUUCAACACCAGUUAAACCAAAAAUCUACAAACAUCAUAAAACACAUGCUAUAAUGGAAAAACCAUAUUCUGAAGGGGAACAUAGAGGCUUACAACAUGGGAAGUUCGGAAACCAGGUUCUACGGACUCGAAAAGAAAGCUAGGAGCCUCCCGGUCGUCUUCUUUAACUAAGCAGCGGUAUGCAAGCACGGGAGUCAGAUGAUCCGAGAA
rnacentral:lncRNA from 1 species